AGCCUUCUUUCUUCAUGUACAGGUCCCUCUGUUCUCCAAUGUACGUCACUUCCGGUGAAAAAGCCACGAAAAAAAGCCAACUUUGAGGCCCGAAUAAACGAAUGCGUCAUCGAAGAAAGAAUGCGUCAACAGCGCGCCAUAAUUAAGCGCUCGACCGCAUCUGAAGCUUUACCUCGAAAGGUCGCAGAGAGUGUAACAAACGAAAACUGCUCACCGAGAAACAUUCUGCGAAAUGGUGCAACAUUGCUAAAGAAGCAAGAGAUCUUAGGUCUCGCCUACAGAAACAAACAUAUAUUACGCAGCACGGUUUUUACCCUGGGUGACACAUUGGACGAGACGAGGCAGCUCGUCGUGAAGAGAAGCGUGGCGUCAUAGAAUUUCACGUCGUUGGGAACUGACUGCGAGGACAGCUCUCUCAAAAGAAUAUUAUGUGGUUGAUUGGCUUGACAAAAAGUAUUUUCAUAUCAACUAACGCGAAUGCCGAAAGAAUAUAUCACGAGAUUGGUUUUGAUCAACAGAAAUUUGAGUUUCUGCAGAGAUCGUUUAUGAAAGUAUGGGUUAAUGUUUGUCGCAGAUAAACUACCCGAGGUAGAAGUAUUAGCAACAUCUAGUCAAGAAUUGUGUGACAGGCAGAAGAUGAUUGGAUCUUGCCAGUCACGGAAAACCUUUGAAUACGUACAAUCCAGAAAGUCAGUUUAUACAAGACCUUCGAGAGAAAGAAGUCCCUGGUAUGAAAAAAGUAGUAUCGUCAUCUGAAGGAUUACACACCAAACUACGUCAAGCUGCUCAACGGAAAAAUGGAUUAACAAAAGAACGCAAACAGUUGAUUAAAAUGGGAAAUAAGCUGAGAGCUGAAUUGUUGAAAUAUAAAGAUUUUGAAGGGAUAUUUUGGAAUAUCUAUU